rnacentral:rRNA from 1 species
UACGAAGGGGGCUAGCGUUGUUCGGAAUUACUGGGCGUAAAGCGCGCGCAGGCGGUCUUCCAAGUCAGUGGUGAAAGCCCGGAGCUCAACUCCGGAACUGCCAUUGAAACUGUUGGACUUGAGUACGAGAGAGGUGAGUGGAAUUCCCAGUGUAGAGGUGAAAUUCGUAGAUAUUGGGAAGAACACCGGUGGCGAAGGCGGCUCACUGGCUCGUAACUGACGCCCAGGCGCGACAGCGUGGGGAGCGAACAGG